rnacentral:ribozyme from 1 species
AGAACCCCGAAGACGAUGCUCGUCUUUGCACUAUCGUCGUGGGGCAUUGCGUUGGUGUCCCCUUUGGUUCUGCUGGCCUCGGGUAAGGGCGCCCGGGACGCCACGUCGUGGAUCUCGCGUUGCUUUUUCACGUACGUCGUUCCUGUGCUGCCGCUCAUCAUGCUCCACGACUCGAUGG